rnacentral:rRNA from 1 species
CCUACGGGAGGCAGCAGUGAGGAAUAUUGGUCAAUGGGCGCAAGCCUGAACCAGCCAAGUCGCGUGAGGGAUGACGGCUCUACGGAUUGUAAACCUCUUUUAUAAAGGAAUAAAGUGCGGCACGUGUGCCGUUUUGUAUGUACUUUAUGAAUAAGGAUCGGCUAACUCUGUGCCAGCAGCCGCGGUAAUACGGAGGAUCCGAGCGUUAUCCGGAUUUAUUGGGUUUAAAGGGUGCGUAGGUGGCUUUUUAAGUCAGUGGUGAAAGUUUGCGGCUCAACCAUAAAAUUGCCGUUGAAACUGGGAGGCUUGAGUAUAGUUGAGGCAGGCGGAAUGCGUGGUGUAGCGGUGAAAUGCUUAGAUAUCACGCAGAACCCCGAUUGCGAAGGCAGCCUACCAAGC